UGAACGCUGACAGAAUGCUUAACACAUGCACGUCAACUUGAAUUUGGGUUUUUAACUUAGGUUUGGGUGGCGGACGGGUGAGUAACGCGUAAAGAACUUGCCUCACAGCUAGGGACAACAUUUGGAAACGAAUGCUAAUACCUAAUAUUAUGAUAAUAGGGCAUCCUAUAAUUAUGAAAGCUAUAAGCGCUGUGAGAGAGCUUUGCGUCCCAUUAGCUAGUUGGAGAGGUAACGGCUCACCAAGGCGAUGAUGGGUAGCCGGCCUGAGAGGGUGAUCGGCCACAAGGGGACUGAGACACGGCCCUUACUCCUACGGGAGGCAGCAGUGGGGAAUAUUGGACAAUGGACCGAGAGUCUGAUCCAGCAAUUCUGUGUGCACGAUGAAGUUUUUCGGAAUGUAAAGUGCUUUCAGUUGGGAAGAAACAAAUGACGGUACCAACAGAAGAAGUGACGGCUAAAUACGUG
rnacentral:rRNA from 1 species